GCGGAUGUGGCGGAAUUGGUAGACGCGCUAGACUUAGGAUCUAGUACCUACGGUGUGGGGGUUCGAGUCCCUUCAUCCGCACAA
rnacentral:tRNA from 1 species